GGCUCGGCCCUGCCCCGGCCACCGGGACAGCCCCCGGGCUCGGGAAUGCCCCCGGGGCCGGGCAGGAGCUGCCCCGCCACCACCGCACUCCUCGGACCCGCUGCUGCCCGGGUCACGUAGUGCCGGAGGUUGAAGAGAGGGGGGGUGUUCCGUCCCGACCGCGGCCCCUCGGGGUAACGCUGUGUUAGUUUAGCGUUACUGUUACCGAAUUAAAACUGCUGCUGCUUUAGUUAGUCAGUAACCUCCAGGAACACUGGAUCAGCUGGACUGGCAAGGGAGAUGAAACUUUCCUGAAACACCGCUGGAAUUCCGUAUUUUUUUAAUACAGAAGGGCUGGGAGAUACCGAAUGUGGAGUUUUGCUACUGUGUCUGCAGACGGAGUGACAGAGGCAGCGCAUCAAAGCGAACCACGACGUUCUGCAAGUAGACUGUUCACUCUGAAGCCUACAACGCGUAAUUGAAAUGGGAUUAAUUCCUCUGCUGAUUAACACUUUGAAUAAACCUCCACCUAAAAUUCUUAUUCAUUGAGCAGAUAGUGAAAGUCAAAAGAGGCCUUCGCUUAAUUAUUUUCUCUCUUCCAGCAGAUUAUUUUAACUGCCUUAGAAGAGUUCUGUAAGAAGGCCAGAAGAACAUGUGUCAGUGAGAGCUGGAAAUAUUACAUUUUCUUUUAAUGUGCUUCCCAACUACAAGUUCGCCUGCAGUUCUCAUUUGUCUUUUUUUCUUUCUACUCAAUUCUGUGCAGUCAUAUCUUAAAGCUGUAUUAAGCAGUAACAAAAAUAGUGGUUUACCGAUUUACUAGCAUAAUUCUCAUUACUGGAGGUCAUUGUCCAAAAUCACCAGCCUAACUGGUUGAGAACAUCCCAUAAUUUUAGCCUAUUCCCCUCUUCGAAGCCAAUAAAAGCUGAAUAGCUAAAUGGCUUUAAGGAGUGGAAAAGAGGGGAGACUGCACAGGCAAAAGGAGAUGGACAAGAGAUGGAAGAGCAGUGCCCAGGAGGAAGCCUGAACACAACCUGACCAAAUGCCCCAGUUCAAUGAUUUCUCUCUUUCUGCACCAACUCUCUUUAGAGUUGGUGCAGUUGUGGGUGGCUCAGCCAUCUUAGCCAAGUGACAAUUUGAGUUCUCAGCUGUUCAGUUUCUAACUAGACAUUUAUAAGCCUCAUAAUCCCUACCAAAAUUACUUUAGCCUAAUAUAACAUUACUGUACUGUAACAAUUUUAGCUAUAUAUAUGAAGGAAAAAAAAUGUCCAGCAGGAGUACAAAGAUCCACAUUAGAGAUUUCCAGGGGAGAACAGCUGGCAGCUUUCAUCUCCUCUGGAGCAGCACACUCCCUAGAAGCAGGGUGCAUUGCAGAGACAACCAUUUUUUUCCCUGAAGAAAUGCAAAAUACUGAAAUGAGGAAAGAUGGACUUAAACAACUUUUUCCCUUGGUACAGGGUGCCUCACUUGAAAAUUCACAGGCCAGUUGCUUUUUCAUGGGAAGAGAAUGACACGUGGCCUGUUGUCACUCUAGCUCUGCUACUGAUUUGGUUUUGUCAUGGCACUGCAAGAGUAGCAGGCACUGUAAUGUAUAAGAGCAAGGACAGAACAAAAGACCGACCUGCUUUUCACAAGCUACCUGAUACAAAACAAGAGACAUAGAUAGCAAUACAGGAGCCUAGGGAAACAGGUCAGUACCAGUCUGCAUUUUUUCAACAGCUAAGAAGCUUUUUAAAUAAGCAUACAGUAAAUAAAGUGGCAAAAGAUAGGUUGUCCUGGGCAAAUUGACUUCUUGACCCAAGGCUGGACUUGACAAGACAAGAUGGAAGGCUUGGGAAAUGAGCAACAGAACAGAAUAAUAGCAAAACCUCCCAAAUUAGUAUUUUUCAAGCCUGUAAAUUAGCAGGAAAAGGCAAAGCCUUCUGUCCAGAGCUCAUACCAAAGAAAUAAAAACAAAACCAAACUAACCAACCAAAAAAAAAAAUCUAAGGGAGAAAAGGACUCAAGGGUUAUUUCUUGAUUCAUAUAGGAAACCUCCUAAUAACUCCUUCCUAGAAGAGUGGUUUCCUAUAUCAUUAUUCAUUCACCUAUGCUGUAUAAAAACAUUUGGAAGCCAUCCAUCAUAGCACUCUUUCCAUCAGCUUGAGAUAGCAGAACAAAAUGCAAAUACAACAUCCUACUUAUAUAUUUAGCAUAGAUGUAUUACAUUCUUACAACAAAGACAUCUGUCUUCUCUGAAGUGAGCUGAAGCCAACCCACUUUCCUGAAAGAGACCUUUUAAGAAGAGUCAAGGGAACAGCAGAUUAGUUAAGACUGGGAAGUGCUUACCUCUCAUUUCACAUAAAACCCAGGUUGUUUUUCACUUAGCAUGAGUGGAUCAUUUAAACAAAUAUUUUCUGAAGAGCUAUGACUCCAGGCAGGAAAGGACUCACAAGAGGAGUUCUCUAGGGAGACCAGGAACAAGGAUAGCUCUGUAGCUGAGAAGGGUGAAGUGGAAGCCUUAAACAUCAAAGCAAGUUAACAGGAAGCUGAAAAAGAAGACGUUUGGAUGUGAACGGGGGAAAAGAAGCCUGUUAAUUUUCUUUGGCAAAUCUGAAAACUGAGGGCAAGCAUUUUUCAGGAGUUUAUGCAUUCUAGGCUGGGGUGAAAUCCCAGUUUUGAUGCUCUGCUGGUUUCAAGUGGCCUUCACUCAGUCACCUCCACUCUUCUUUCUUUCAGCAAGCUCUGCACAGGGAAAUGCUGAAAAAUCAAGGAAACCAGACUGAAAUGCUAGAACUUGAGCUGAGAGGGAUUCAGAGCAAACCAUGCCUCCAAGACAUGUAAAAUGUCAUUUCUAAGCUUUUUAUGGCAUCCAGUCAAAAAUCCAAGUCUGUGGACAAGCAAUAAACCAGCAAAAAAGUCUUACUGAGAAGGUA